rnacentral:lncRNA from 8 species
AUGUGCUCUCUCGGGGUUGGGGUCAAUUCUAUUUCAAUUCCAAUCAAUUCAGAAAGUAAACCAAUUUACAAUUUUUACUCAUUGAAAAUCAUUGAAGGAAAUGUGCAUUGGAAUAUCAGUGUAUUCCUGAAUUUAAAUGGAAUUGACCCAAGCCGUGCUCUGUAUAGCCUGAGUCCCAGAUCUUUGUACUGUCUUGCUACCUCCUAUGUCAUUCAGUUGGGAAGACAGCACAAACACACCUGGGACUCCUCCCAUUCUGCAUGCUUUAAAAGGCAAGGGAAGAGUACCACUGGGGACUCCGCCCACUCUGCAUGCUUUAAAAGGCAAGGGAAGAGUACCACUGGGGACUCCGCCCACUCUGCAUGCUUUAAAAGGCAAGGGAAGAGUAACACUGGGGACUCCGCCCACUCUGCAUGCUUUAAAAGGCAAGGGAAGAGUAACACUGGGGACUCCGCCCACUCUGCAUGCUUUAAAAGGCAAGGGAAGAGUAACACUGGGGACUCCGCCCACUCUGCAUGCUUUAAAAGGCAAGGGAAGCGUAACACUGGGGACUCCGCCCACUCUGCAUGCUUUAAAAGGCAAGGGAAGAGUAACACUGGGGACUCCGCCCACUCUGCAUGCUUUAAAAGGCAAGGGAAGAGUAACACUGGGGACUCCGCCCACUCUGCAUGCUUUAAAAGGCAAGGGAAGAGUAACACUGGGGACUCCGCCCACUCUGCAUGCUUUAAAAGGCAAGGGAAGAGUAUCACUGGGGACUCCGCCCACUCUGCAUGCUUUAAAAGGCAAGGGAAGAGUACCACUGGGGACUCCGCCCACUCUGCAUGCUUUAAAAGGCAAGGGAAGAGUAACACUGGGGACUCCGCCCACUCUGCAUGCUUUAAAAGGCAAGGGAAGAGUAACACUGGGGACUCCGCCCACUCUGCAUGCUUUAAAAGGCAAGGGAAGAGUAUCACUGGGGACUCCGCCCACUCUGCAUGCUUUAAAAGGCAAGGGAAGAGUAACACUGGGGACUCCGCCCACUCUGCAUGCUUUAAAAGGCAAGGGAAGAGUAACACUGGGGACUCCGCCCACUCUGCAUGCUUUAAAAGGCAAGGGAAGAGUAACACUGGGGACUCCGCCCACUCUGCAUGCUUUAAAAGGCAAGGGAAGAGUAACACCAGUGAAAAUGAACAAAAAGGGAUUCUGUUACUAAUCAAACUUCUAUUCGUCACACAAUGUUUUAACUGUCAAUGA